rnacentral:rRNA from 1 species
CCUACGGGAGGCAGCAGUGGGGAAUAUUGCACAAUGGGGGAAACCCUGAUGCAGCGACGCCGCGUGAGUGAAGAAGUAUUUCGGUAUGUAAAGCUCUAUCAGCAGGGAAGAAGAAAGACGGUACCGGACGAAGAAGCCCCGGCUAACUACGUGCCAGCAGCCGCGGUAAGACGUAGGGGGCAAGCGGUAUCCGGAUUGACGGGGGGUAAAGGGAGCGUAGACGGCUGUGCCAGUCGGAAGUGAAAGCCCAGGGCUCAACCCGGGGACUGCUUUGGAAACUGUGGAGCUAGAGUGCUGGAGAGGUAAGUCGACUUCCUCUUGUAGCGGUGACAUGCGUAGUUAUUAGGCGGAACACCAGUGGCGCAGGCGGCUUACUGGACCGUACCUGACGUUGAGGCUCGAACGCGUGGGGAGCAAACAGGAUUAGAUACCCGAGUAGUC